UGGGCAACGGUAGGUCAGUAUCGCCCCGAAUAUCCCGGGCUACACGCGAGCUACAAUGGUUGGUACAAUGGGUAUCUACCCGAAAGGGACGGGAAUCUCCUAAACCAAUCUUAGUUCGGAUUGAGGGCUGCAACUCGCCCUCAUGAAGCUGGAAUCCGUAGUAAUCGCGUUUCAACAGAACGCGGUGAAUACGUCCCUGCUCCUU
rnacentral:rRNA from 1 species